rnacentral:rRNA from 1 species
AUUGAACGCUGGCGGCAGGCCUAACACAUGCAAGUCGAACGAGUGGCGGACGGGUGGGUAAUGUCUGGGAAACUGCCUGAUGGAGGGGGAUAACUACUGGAAACGGUAGCUACUACCGCCUACCAUCGGAUGUGCCCAGAUGGGAUUACCUAGUAGGUGGGGUAAAGGCACACCUAGGCGACGCUACCUAGCUGGUCUGAGAGGAUGCACAGCCACACUGGAACUGAGACACGGUCCAGACUCCUACGGGAGGCAGCAGUGGGGAAUAUUGCACAAUGGGCGCAAGCCUGAUGCAGCCAUGCCGCGUGUAUGAAGAAGGCCUUCGGGUUGUAAAGUACUUUCAGCGGGGAGGCGUUACCCGCAGAAUAAGCACCGGCUAACUCCGUGCCAGCAGCCGCGGUAAUUC